rnacentral:rRNA from 1 species
GACGAACGCUGGCGGCAGGCCUAACACAUGCAAGUCGAACGCCGUAGCAAUACGGAGUGGCAGACGGGUGAGUAACACGUGGGAACGUACCCUUCGGUUCGGAAUAACUCAGGGAAACUUGAGCUAAUACCGGAUACGUCCGAGAGGAGAAAGAUUUAUCGCCGAGGGAUCGGCCCGCGUCUGAUUAGCUUGUUGGUGGGGUAAUGGCCUACCAAGGCAACGAUCAGUAUCCGGCCUGAGAGGGCGGACGGACACACUGGGACUGAGACACGGCCCAGACUCCUACGGGAGGCAGCAGUGGGGAAUUGUUCGCAAUGGGCGCAAGCCUGACGACGCAACGCCGCGUGGAGGAUGAAGACC